UACGUAGGGGGCAAGCGUUGUCCGGAUUUAUUGGGCGUAAAGAGCGUGUAGGCGGCCAUGUAGGUCCGUUGUGAAAACUCGAGGCUCAACCUCGAGACGCCGAUGGAAACCAUGUGGCUAGAGUCCGGAAGAGGAGAGUGGAAUUCCCGGUGUAGCGGUGAAAUGCGCAGAUAUCGGGAAGAACACCCGUGGCGAAGGCGGGUCUCUGGGCAACAACUGACGCUGAGGAGCGAAAGCGUGGGGAGCGAACAGG
rnacentral:rRNA from 1 species